rnacentral:rRNA from 1 species
GUGGGGAAUAUUGGACAAUGGGGGGAACCCUGAUCCAGCCAUGCCGCGUGUGUGAAGAAGGCCUUUUGGUUGUAAAGCACUUUAAGCGAGGAGGAGGCUACCGAGAUUAAUACUCUUGGAUAGUGGACGUUACUCGCAGAAUAAGCACCGGCUAACUCUGUGCCAGCAGCCGCGGUAAUACAGAGGGUGCAAGCGUUAAUCGGAUUUACUGGGCGUAAAGCGCGCGUAGGUGGCCAAUUAAGUCAAAUGUGAAAUCCCCGAGCUUAACUUGGGAAUUUAAUUCGAGACUGGUUGGGUAGAGUAUGGGAGAGGAUGGUAUAAUUCCAGGUGUAGCGGUGAAAUGCGUAGAGAUCUGGAGGAAUACCGAUGGCGAAGGCAGCCAUCUGGCCUAAUACUGACACUGAGGUGCGAAAGCAUGGGGAGCAAACAGGAUUAGAUACCCCAGUAGUCC